rnacentral:rRNA from 1 species
GACGUAGGGCGCGAGCGUUGUCCGGAUUUAUUGGGCGUAAAGAGCUCGUAGGCGGCUCAUUGCGUCAACCGUGAAAUCCUGCUGCUCAACGGCAGGUCUGCGGUUGAUACGGGUGGGCUGGAGUUCGGUAGGGGAGACUGGAAUUCCUGGUGUAGCGGUGAAAUGCGCAGAUAUCAGGAGGAACACCGGUGGCGAAGGCGGCCCUCUGGACGGUGACUGACGCUGAGACGCGAAAGCGUGGGGAGCGAACAGG